CAUGAUCAUAUCCACAUGUUUGUUUGUUUAUUUGUUUUUUCUGUGAAACCCCAGCUUUAUGAAAACCCUGGACACCUCUUAUUGCCUGAGUCAGCUCUCUUUGAAUGACUGGAAAUGUAUUCUCCCAGUAGUACUCCAAAGCAGAGUGUCUGAGUGUGAGACAAGCAACUAAAACUGAGGUGAAAGUCAGACUCAAAGACAUAGAAGGGACUGCAUGAGAACAUCUGGGCAAGGUGGAAAACUGAGCUCCCUGGGGAGAGAAGUUACUUCUUGAUCAAGAAUAUGACAUACCUAAGGGGUAAACCAAAAUGCUUUGGAACACAUCAAUUUCUAAGGAUUCUUAUUAAUGGAAAUUUCACAUAGUAUAGCACAUCCCUUCUCCUUUCUCUUUCUGAGAGAGACUCAAGAGGCCACAGAUGUACAUGAAGCUUCAGGUCCUGAGAGGUAAAAGCUCCUGUGUCAAGGCAACAUCAUCAUGGAAAUUUACUGCGAAGAGGAGACUCCAGGAGGUGGUGUUGUCUGGGGGCUAUGCUCCCACCUGUCAAGCUCUGAGUCCUACAGAGAGCAUCAGGCUUGCACUCUUGUUGCUCAUCACCUCCUCUGCUGUGGGCCCUUCAGGGCUGGCUUUGAUCCACUCACAUGCAGUGCAACUGAUUUGUCCUGCUGGAGAGAAUCCAGAUCCAGGGGUCUAA
rnacentral:lncRNA from 1 species